rnacentral:rRNA from 1 species
GAUGAACGCUGGCGGCGUGCCUAAUACAUGCAAGUCGAGCGAACAGACGAGGAGCUUGCUCCUCUGACGUUAGCGGCGGACGGGUGUGUAACACGUGGAUCCCCUACCUAUAAGACUGGGAUAACUUCGGGAAACCGGAGCUAAUCCCGGAUAAUAUAUUGCACCGCAUGGUUCAAUAGUGAAAGACGGUUUUGCUGUCUCUUAUCGAUGCUUCCGCGCCGCAUUAGCUAGUUGGUACGGUCACGGCUUACCAAGGCAGCGAUGCGUAGCCGACCUGAGAGGGUGAUCGGCCACACUGGAACUGGGACACGGUCCAUACUCCUACGGGAGGCAGCAGUAGGGAAUCUUCCGCAAUGGGCGGAAGCCUGACGGAGCAACGCCGCGUGAGUGAUGAAGGUCUUCGGAUCGUAAAACUCUGUUAUGAGGGAAGAACAAAUGUGUAAGUAACUAUGCACGUCUUGACGGUACCUAAUCAGAAAGCCACGGCUAACUACGUG